UACGUAGGGUGCAAGCGUUGUCCGGAAUUAUUGGGCGUAAAGAGCUCGUAGGCGGUUUGUCGCGUCUUGCUGUGAAAUCUGGGGGCUCAACCCCCAGCCUGCAGUGGGUACGGGCAGACUAGAGUGCGGUAGGGGAGAUUGGAAUUCCUGGUGUAGCGGUGGAAUGCGCAGAUAUCAGGAGGAACACCGAUGGCGAAGGCAGAUCUCUGGGCCGUAACUGACGCUGAGGAGCGAAAGCAUGGGGGAGCGAACAGG
rnacentral:rRNA from 1 species